GACGAACGCUGGCGGCGUGCUUAACACAUGCAAGUCGAACGGAAAGGCCCUGCUUUUGUGUGGUGCUAGAGUGGCGAACGGGUGAGUAACACGGGAGUAACCUGCCCUUGACUUUGGGAUAACUUCAGGAAACUGGGGCUAAUACCGGAUAGGAGCUCCUGCUGCAUGGUGGGGGUUGGAAAGUUUCGGCGGUUGGGGAUGGACUCGCGGCUUAUCAGCUUGUUGGUGGGGUAGUGGCUUACCAAGGCUUUGACGGGUAGCCGGCCUGAGAGGGUGACCGGCCACAUUGGGACUGAGAUACGGCCCAGACUGCUACGGGAGGCAGCAGUGGGGAAUAUUGCACAAUGGGCGGAAGCCUGAUGCAGCAACGCCGCGUGCGGGAUGACGGCCUUCGGGUUGUAAACCGCUUUCGCCUGUGACGAAGCGUGAGUGACGGUAAUGGGUAAAGAAGCACCGGCUAACUACGUG
rnacentral:rRNA from 1 species